rnacentral:rRNA from 1 species
UACGGAGGAUGCAAGCGUUAUCCGGAAUUAUUGGGCGUAAAGCGUCCGCAGGUGGUUGAACAAGUCUGCUGUUAAAGCGCGGAGCUUAACUCCGUAAGGGCGGUGGAAACUGUUUAACUAGAGUACGGUAGGGGUAGCGGGAAUUCCCGGUGUAGCGGUGAAAUGCGUAGAUAUCGGGAAGAACACCAGCGGCGAAAGCGCGCUACUGGGCCGUAACUGACACUCAUGGACGAAAGCUAGGGGAGCGAAAGGG